UUCCUACGGGACGCAGCAGUGAGGAAUAUUGGUCAAUGGGCGGAAGCCUGAACCAGCCAAGUCGCGUGAGGGGAGAAGGCCCUGCGGGUCGCAGACCUCUUUGGACGGGGAGCAAGGCCGCCGAAGUGUCGGCGGAAGGAGAGUACCAGGAGAACAAGCAUCGGCUAACUACGUGCCAGCAGCCGCGGUAAUACGGAGGAUGCGAGCGUUAUCCGGAUUUAUUGGGUUUAAAGGGGGCGCAGGCG
rnacentral:rRNA from 1 species